ACAACAGUUGUAAAGAUCUCGUCCCUGGUCCGAAGGGCCGCCCUCACGCACAACGACAACCACUUCAACUACGAGAAGACCCACAACUUUAAG